CUUCUUCUCUGAGCAACAGAAAUGGUAGCUGUUCUGAAGCGGAGGAGCCCACAGCCCAGCAAGAUGUCUAGCAGUUCCUGGGUGCCCGGUCGUUUCUACAUCAUUCCAAUUUGUGUUUGUACCGGGGCUUUGGAUGUGUGUCAGAUAAAAUGUGUAAGAAAAUAUGAGCUUCAUUGAAAAUGCAACGAAGAAAGGAGUCUUUAAUUAAAGGGAUUGUCACGUUGCCCCUAACCAGUCCCAGCACUUUCAGUCAGGCUUCGACCUUUGGGUUCUGUACUGGCCACUUUUGUAUGUGAACUUGACACAGGCUAGAAUCAUCGCGGCAGAAAGGAGCUUCACCUGGAAAUGCUUCCACGAGAUCCAGCCGUAAGGCAGAAAGCAAAACUUCCGUCAACACACCGAAUGAAAAACAGAAAUAAAAAGGAGGAGGAUGCGACUACUUCUUAGAUGGUGUCACUAAGCAGUCUGUGAUUGUCCUACUUCUGCCUUGCAAGUCGCUGAAAUAAAACAAACGAACAAACAAACAAACA
rnacentral:sRNA from 1 species